UACGGGGGGGGCAAGCGUUGUUCGGAAUUACUGGGCGUAAAGGGCUCGUAGGCGGCCAACUAAGUCGGACGUGAAAUCCCCAGGCUCAACCUGGGAACUGCGUCCGAUACUGGAUGGCUUGAAUCCGGGAGAGGGAUGCGGAAUUCCAGGUGUAGCGGUGAAAUGCGUAGAUAUCUGGAGGAACACCGGUGGCGAAGGCGGCAUCCUGGACCGGUAUUGACGCUGAGGCGCGAAAGCCAGGGGAGCAAACGGG
rnacentral:rRNA from 1 species